AACGAACGCUGGCGGCAUGCCUAACACAUGCAAGUCGAACGAGACCUUCGGGUCUAGUGGCGCACGGGUGCGUAACGCGUGGGAAUCUACCCUUGGGUUCGGAAUAACAGUUAGAAGUGACUGCUAAUACCGGAUGAUGACGUAAGUCCAAAGAUUUAUCGCCUAAGGAUGAGCCCGCGUAAGAUUAGCUUGUUGGUGGGGUAAUGGCCUACCAAGGCGACGAUCUUUAGCUGGUCUGAGAGGAUGAGCAGCCACACUGGAACUGAGACACGGCCCAGCCUCCUACGGGAGGCAGCAGUGGAGAAUAUUGUACAACGGGCGAGAGCCUGAUCCAGCAAUGCCGCGCGAGUGAUGAAGGCCUUAGGGUUGUAAAGCACUUUUACCACAGAUGAUAAUGACAGUACCUGGAGAAUGAGCACCGGCUAACUCCGUGCCAGCCGCCGCCGUAA
rnacentral:rRNA from 1 species